rnacentral:rRNA from 1 species
GGUAGCAUAAUCAUUAGUCUUUUAAUUGGAGACUGGUAUGAAUGGCUAAACGAGAGAUCAACUUUUUUUACCGUAAAAAUUGAAUUUAACUUUUUAGUGAAAAGGCUAAAAUUUUUCAGAAAGACGAGAAGACCCUAUAGAGUUUUAUAAAGGACUAAUACUUUUUAUUUGGAUUUUUAUAAAAAAUAUUAAUAAAUUUAUUUUGUUGGGGCGACAUUUAGAUAAAAAAAACUCUUUAUAAGAAAAAUUUUUAUGAAAAUAUGGAUUGAUCCUUUUUAAAAGAUCAUAAGAAAAAAUUACCUUAGGGAUAACAGCGUAAUCUUUUUUGAGAGUUCUAAUCGACAAGAAGGUUUGCGACCUCGAUGUUGGACUAAAAUUAGGGCAGGGU